rnacentral:rRNA from 1 species
CUAUACAUGACUCUGCGCAUAUCAAUAAGCGGAGGAAAAGAAACUAACAAGGAUUCCCCUAGUAACGGCGAGUGAAGCGGGAAGAGCUCAAAUUUGAAAUCUUAAAGGGUUUCCCUUUACGAAUUGUAGUUUAAAGAAGUGUUUUCUGUUGGAGUUUCGGUAAAAGUUCUUUGGAAUAGGACAUCAUAGAGGGUGAGAAUCCCGUAUUUGACCGUUACUUUCCAGCUGUGUGAUACACUUUCAAAGAGUCGGAUUGUUUGGGAAUGCAGUCCAAAAUGGGUGGUAAAUUUCAUCUAAAGCUAAAUAUUGGCGAGAGACCGAUAGCGAACAAGUACCGUGAGGGAAAGAUGAAAAGAACUUUGAAAAGAGAGUUAAACAGUACGUGAAAUUGUCAAAAGGGAAGCGCUUGACACCAGUGUUGUUUUCUCGAAAAUCAAUUAAAAAUGGUGGGAUGUUGUGUUGUAUUGACUUUAUCAGCUUUCUGCACUUUUUUUCCUAUCUUUUUUAAUGCACUUUUCGUUUAACAAGUCAACAUCAAUUUCUUUUGUUGUAAAAGAGUCAUUGGAAGGUGGCUUUCUUUUCGGGGAAAGUGUUUAUAGCCUUUGAUCUCUGCAACCGGAGAGACUGAGGUCUGCAGCGUAGACUCUUCGGGGAUAGAUACAUUUGUGCUAAGCUAUAGCUUUUUAUAGACAACUUGUUGACUAUAUUUAGUCUUGUGGCUUACUCGCUUAUGCUAUUUUACCUACGCUUAGGAUGUUGA